CCUACGGGGGGCAGCAGUGAGGAAUAUUGGUCAAUGGACGAGAGUCUGAACCAGCCAAGUAGCGUGAAGGAUGACUGCCCUAUGGGUUGUAAACUUCUUUUAUAUGGGAAUAAAAUGUUCCACGUGUGGGAUUUUGUAUGUACCAUAUGAAUAAGGAUCGGCUAACUCCGUGCCAGCAGCCGCGGUAAUACGGAGGAUCCGAGCGUUAUCCGGAUUUAUUGGGUUUAAAGGGAGCGUAGGUGGAUUGUUAAGUCAGUUGUGAAAGUUUGCGGCUCAACCGUAAAAGUGCAGUUGAAACUGGCAGUCUUGAGUACAGGAGAGGUGGGCGGAAUUCGUGGUGUAGCGGUGAAAUGCUUAGAUAUCACGAAGAACUCCGAUUGCGAAGGCAGUUCACUGGACUGCAACUGACACUGAGGCUCGAAAGUGUGGGUAUCAAACAGGAUUAGAUACCCGAGUAGUC
rnacentral:rRNA from 1 species